GUGCUCCUGUGUGGAAGGGAGAGAAUGGUGUCGUGAAGGAAUGCCCAGCUUUAAUUGCAUCCUGUGUCAUUCUGACUGGAAGGAUGUUUAAUGGGAGUUGCUCUGUCCUGCGUUUGUUUGCAGAUGUGACUGGAGGAGGUGAUCCAGGUUCCGCUCUGAGCUCUGGGACUGAAACUCCGGCAGAUCGCAUGGGAGUGCCCCCAGGGAGGGCUUUGCCCGGUCAUGUGUUUCCUCCUGCGCUGGAGCCCAGCUGGAAUCCCAGCGGUCCGGAAAAAGGAAAGGAUGAACCCAAAAGAGGAGAAUACUCCCAGGGCUCAUCCCGUCUCCUCAAGGAACUGGUGAAGGAAAUGGAGAAGGCAGCGCGUGGAACUGACCAACAAAGUGAGCAGGAUGCACUGCAGGAAGGCAGCCAUCCCACACUGCCAGUCUCGGGCAAAGGAACGCAGGCAGCGCCAACAACUGUCAUGCCAGGGAUGAAUGCCGGGACGAGCACAAAGGCUGCUGUUGGCAGAUCUGCGCGAAGGCGCCACAUCGCAGCGAUGGUACUGUUCUCAGCUGUGGUGCUGUCUGCGCUGGUGCUGGCCUGUGGUGCUGUGAUAUGGAUGUGCCAAAAAUACGUAGUGUGCAAGAGAGAAGAGAGAGCAGCAGAGCAGGCUCAUCCUGAUACCAACUAGGAGAGAGUUCCAACUGGAGACGAGGGCAGAACGGAGCUGGGAGAGGCAGCCGAAGAGACUCUUGCCCCAUCAAAGAAGAAUCUCAGCCAUCGUCCCAGUGCAUUCCAUUCUGCCAUCCAAGAGGCCAAAGGUCUUCAAAGUCAUCUGGAAGACUGGAGCUUGAACUCAAAGCCGUGAAAGAGGUCCACGGGAACAGUCCUGAGUGCUGCUUUCUGUCAGGGGACGGCCCUGAAAGUGAGAGCGGAGAACCAGCAGCAGAGCUUUUGUCCUUCACCCUGCAUUCUCUGGGACAAGCAUCAGCAACAUUUCAAAGAUUCUUAGCUCGGCAUAGCUACAAUCCUGUUGAGGGUCCUAAUGAGGAGCCAGAAAGCGAGCUUCCUCUGACCGCUGGACAACACCUUAACGUCUUUGGAGCUGUGGAUGAGAAUGGCUGGUUUCAGGGAGAGCUGACAGAUGGCACAAGAGGACUGGUCCCAUCCAAUUUGGUUACGGAGGUUUCAGAUGAUGGACUGGAUACAACGAUGCCUCCGGAGCUCUGUGCUCUCCUGCUGGAUAAUUGAUGAAUAAGUGGAUGCAGAGAUUCCGAGGCACAAACAAACAAACAAACAAACAAACACCACCCACAAUAAAACAACCAACCAACCAACCCAAAAAGCGCUGCUCUUUUUCUUGGAUACACUGAGGUGAUCCUUUUUCUAGCUGAGACUUUGCAAUGAGUCUUGAAGCAGAUUUGAGCCGGUAGAAGUUGGCAGUGUCUGCAUUCCGUUCUCCUGAUUUCCUUGCUGGUCAGAGUUAAGGUGCCAUGCAUCCAUUCCCCAGCCCUAGCUGCUCCUGAAUCAUGAGAACAGCCUUUCCAUAUUGUGGAAAGAACUGGAGUGGAUUCACGCUGAAGGACAAGAUGCUUGCAGACACGUAAGCUCAAGAGGAGAAUGCAGAGUCCACGGAAACUCACUGCCAAACAACGAUGAGAAAGUAGAAUAGGCUCCUGUUGUUGAAGAUGGGACGGUGAAACAGAUGUCUCAGCUCAACACAACGCCAGUAGGAGCUGGUUCGGGCUACCCCCCCUUAAAAGGUCGGAAGUUCACAGCGAGGUAGACUACGAGCCUUCAUCCACUGACCGCCAGAGACCCCCACCACAUUUUUAGGACGCGUGCUCAAGAGGGUGGGACAAUACGUUAAUAGUUUCUCAGAAUUCCAGCCCAUUUUUGUGGAACGUAAUGAAUAUGUGGAUGUUAUGUCUGUAAGUAUGUAACCAGUGCUUUUCUCUGUGUGCGAGUUAGGAGGAGAUAUCCCCCCCCGCACCCGGCGCCGUAAUGAGCGUACCUGCUUUGUAACCUUACGUGGGUUCCAGAGUUUGAUUCCACACGUCACUCCCUUCACUAUUAAGAGGACAAAGAACUUCUGGCACAGAAGGAUGCCCACCUGCAAGGCUCAAAUUGCACGCUGCUUCCUCCCUCUCUGCUCAGUAAAACUCUGUGUUGGGCUCAUUUGGAAGGAAGGUUUGGUGUUCUGACUUCCUGGACAGUUGUUACCUAAAGCCUGGAGUGCCUGUGUCAACUGUGGCGGUGCAACUGCCACACCUUCUCUCCCCCUUCUCUCAGGCCUCUCGGUGCACCACUUCUCCUGAGACAAAAGGCGGAGGACCGGUACGUGGAGGUACUCCUCCUCUUCCCUUGCCCCUGCUUGCCUCUGGGUAGCAAGGGGCAAUGAAUUGGAACAUUAGGGGAUGCCCUAGUUGUAUCUGACUCCUGCUUUGCGCCCCACUGCCCAGGAACAAUCCUGGGGUCAAUCGUCGUCUGACAGCCUGGGACGCGUGAACACGAAUCACGGCUCAGGUGGGGUAGCGUGGAAUCCGUGAGUCCAGCAAGUUCUGGGGUUUGCACAACUGGUAGAAAGAACCAGAAGAUUUUGCCAUGCGAGGGGGCUGGUAUGGAAAAGUAGCCGUCAGAUCUCCAUCGUCUCAGACCCUAUAACUAGAGAUUCAAAGCGAGUGUUAAUCAAUAUCUGAAGGGAAGUGGGAGGAAAAUGGAUGAGGCCAGGCUCUUCUCGGUGGUGCGUAGCGGAGGACAAUGAGCAGUGGCCUAGAACUUGAGCACAGGAAGUUCCAUGCAAACAUGUGGAAGACCUUCUUUACGGUAAGGGUGGGGGAGCCCUGGGACGGGUUGCCCAGAGAGGUGGUGGAGGUUAUGACCAGCAUCUCCUCUGGGUUGGGAUGCCUCUCAGGUACUGCCAAAUCCUCGAGGCCCUCUACCAAUGAUAGUGUACCAAGGAUAGUCUACUGUGCUGUGAUCUUCAGGGACGUUUUCAACACAAGCCAUCCUAUUGUUCUGUGAUCUUCAAGGACACUUCCAGCGUACAAAAAUCCAGUGGUUCUGUGAUCUCAGGGAGCCAUGCACACAAAACCAUUCCAGCGUUGUGUGAUUUUAGAAGCUGGACGUGAGCCAGCAGUGUGUGCUGGCAGCCCGGAAGGCCAAGUGUGUUCUGGGCUGCGUUAAGAAAGAGGUGGCCAGCAGGGAGAGGGAGGUGGUUGUCCCCCUCUACUCAGCUCUUGUGAGGCCCCAUCUGGAGUACUGCACCCAGGCGUGGGGCCCUGUAUGAGACCUGUUGAACUGCAACUCCACCUGUGUGACCGGAAGGGGUGGAGCCAGGCUCCACCUCUCCUAAACCCAUUUAAGGGCUGACUGCCACGGAGGAAGGAUGCUCUCUGAAGAUCACUCCUCUUGGAGCCCUUUUGGCGAGCCCAGCAUUCACCUCUAUUACUUUGUGCAACAGUCAGCCCCCCAGAAAGCACCAGACUCAACAUUGCUGAGGUAGCAAGGGCAGGGAAAGGGUCAGGGCAGCAAUGAGCUCAUGAUGGCCAAGGUUUGAUUGCCGACUGCUCUGUCACCGAGGUUCGCUGCUUCCCAGCUGUCCCUGCCCCGAGGAGGAGAGGCGGAGUCAGGGCGUGUGAACCGCGGGGCCGUUCGGGCGAGGUGAUACGGUAAGGUACCCAUUCGCGCGACUACACAGGGAGUCGGGUUGUUGUCUCGCUGUGAAGAGAGUGAUUUUCAGGGCAAACCCCGAGCGACUCAGCGAGCAGGCAAGGCGGGGCACCUUGCCAUGUAGGAGGCGCGUUAGCACUUAGCACUGAACAGGUCGUUGCUCUCCGGGCACACCGAGGUGCAACCACGGUCACCACACGGCAGCGAGCUGCUGCUAAAAGGCAUGCAGAGACUGAAAGCACGAGUGUCCGUGCCACAGUUCAGGUCUCAGGCUGCGCAGAAUGCUCGGCCCUGUUGCUGCUACGGGAGGGCAGCUGGGAUACCGCCUGUGAGCGGGUGGAGGAUCUCCCAGCCUGGUGGUAGAGCUGAAGGAGGAAGUGGAAGGGCUGAGGAGCAUCCGGGACUGUGGGAAGGGGAUUGGUCGGUGGAGCUGCGCUCGGCCGUCCCUACAGGAAGGGUGUGGGGAGAUGCUUUUCAGGCAGUGGGGGAUCAUCUGCUGUCUCGCAGUCAGUGGGGAACGGGUGACCUCAAAGACAGCGAGGGAUGGAAACAAGUCCCUGCUCGGGGCAACAAGCGGACUGCCCCUCAGCCUGUCCCACCUUCCCAGGUGCCCUCUGGAGCUAGAGGGACUGGGGGAUGUGGGUGUUGGUGAAAGUCCAUCUGUGCAGGAGAGGUUGCCAAGGCUGGUCAGUCUGCUCCCCGUUCUGCUACAGUGUCAGUCAGGAAAAAAAGAAGGGCUGUUGUCAUAGGGGACUCCCUUCUGAGGGUAACGAGGACCCGAUAUGCUGCUUGGAUCCGUCCCGCAGGGAGGUGUGCUGCCUGCCUGGUGCCCGGGUGAGGGGCAUUGCUAGGAACAUCACUCGCCUGGUUAAGCCCUCCGAUUAUUAUCCACUACUGUCUUUCCACAUUGGAAAUGAAGAGAUAGGCAAAAGAAGUCCUCGGGUGAUCAGAAGGGACUUCAGGGGUCUGUGAAGACUUCUGAAGGGAUCUGGCGUGCAAGCAGCGUUUUCCUCUGUCCUCUCAGUUGGUGACUGGGAUCUGGAUAAAAGGAGGAGGGUGCACAUGUUGAAGGAAUGGCUUUGUGAAUGGUGUCAUGCUCAGGGCUUUGGGUACCAUGGCUUGGGAUGCAGCCUUGAGAAAGGGAGAAGGCUGACAGUGGAUGGGAGCCGACUGACUAGAAGGGCCACAAAUAUUUUUGGAAAUAAGCUGGCAGGGCUGGUUAGCAGGGCUUAUAAUAGGUAUGAUGGGGGAAGGUGGUAUACUGGGUGACAGAGAUCAUAAAACAUAGAAUUGCUAAGGUUGGAAAAGACCCACAGGAGCAUCCAGUCCAACCAUUCGCCCUUCACCAAUGGUUCUCGCUAAACCAUGUCCCUCAGCACAACAUCGAAACGCUCUUUGAACACUACCAGGCUCAGUGACUCCACCACCUCUCUGGGCAGCCCAUUCCAGUGCCUGACCACCCUUUCAGAGAAGGAGUAUUUCCUAGCGUCCAGCCUGAAUCUUCCCUGGUGCAGCUUGAAGCCAUGAGAAGCACCUGGGAAUGCUGUCACCUUGGGAGGUGGUAAGGGAAAACCCCAGACUCAUCCUGGAGGUACUAGGGAGGGCUCCUCUGAGAAGGCAAUGAGGCCAGUGGCUAAGCUGAAGUCCCUCUAUAUCAAUGCGUGCAGCAUGGGAAAUAAACAGGAGGAGCUAGAAACUGUGGUGCAAUUGGGAAAGUAUGACCUAAUUGCUAUCAUGGAAACAGGGUGGGAUGAAUCGCAUGAUUGAAUACCCUGAUUGAGGACUACAGGCUUUUCAGAAGGGAUAGACAGGUUAGGAGGGUGGUGGGUUGCCCUCUUAUGUUAGGAAGUGGACAGAUUGUGAAGAGCUGUGUCUGAGGAACAGCCAUGAUCAGGUUGAGAGCUUGUGGGUAAAAACUGCGAUCAGUCCAGCAAAGGGCAUCAGCGGCU
rnacentral:lncRNA from 7 species